rnacentral:rRNA from 1 species
UACGAAGGUUGCAAGCGUUACUCGGAAUUACUAGGCGUAAAGGGCAGGUAGGUGGUUUGGUAAGUCUAUUGUGAAAGCUCCCGGCUUAACUGGGAGAGGCCAAUGGAUACUGCCAAGCUUGAGUAUAGGAGAGGUUACUGGAAUUCCCGGUGUAGCGGUGAAAUGCGCAGAUAUCGGGAGGAACACCAAUGGCGAAAGCAGGUAACUGGACUAUUACUGACACUGAGGAGCGAAAGCGUGGGUAGCAAACAGG